rnacentral:lncRNA from 10 species
UUUCUCUUCACCCAUUACUAAUUAGAGUUAGGAGAACACUGUUGACAUGAAUCAGAGUGUAUUAUUUUUCUUUUUUUGAGACAGAGUCUUGCUCUCUUGCCCAGGCUGGAGUGCAGUGGCACAAUCUUGGCUUACUGCAACCUCUCCCUCCCAGGUUCAAGCGAUUUUCCUCCCUCAGCCUCUCGAACAGCUGGGAUUAUAGGCACCCACCACCACACCCAGAUAAUUUUUGUAUUUUUAGUAGAGACGGGGUUUCACCAUGUUGGCUGGGCUGGUCUCGAACUCCUGACCUCAAGUGAUCCAUCUGCCUUGGCCUUCCAAAGUGCUGGGAUUGCAGGAGUGAGCCACCGCACCUGGCCCAGAGUGUAUUAUUAAAUACAACAUUACUCCUACUUUAUUGGAUUGUUUCUUUUCCGACACUUCUGGAACUCCUCCUUCUCCCCACUCAGCAACUCAUGCAUCUUUGACCCAUGACUCUGCUUUUUCCACACUCACUCUUGAUAUCACCGGCUGUGUGACUUCAAUUCUCUCCACCUGCCAGGUCCUGACACCCUUUUUGCCUUGAACUCUCUCAGAGUUCUGUGCCGCAUUUCUUGUCCACUUAGCUCCCAACAAGGGAGGGAGAAGGGAAAGAGUGUGCUUUAGGGAGGGAGGAGAGUAGGCAUGGUGAGAGAUGACAAUGACAAUGGUGAUGAUGAUGAUGACAUUUAUUAGCCAUAAGAGGAGAAAAGCCAAGUCAAAAUCCUAUUUAAGAUAUUUAAGGUAAGUUUUGCCUGUACUCUUUGUGCAGGCCGUGUGAGACAAAUGAACAUUCAGAUUCUGAACACUGAUCUGUUACUGUUUGUAGAUAGAGUUCACUGUUCUGUGCUCAAUUUAAUAUUUGUAAUUGAGCAUGCAUUGCUUAGGGGCCAUAAUCCCUGUAUCUAACUCUCUAAGUCCUAUCCUUUGUAUACACAGAGAAUAAAACAUAGUCUAGCCAGGUGCAGUAUGGGAAAGGCCAGUAGAAGUCACAGAGGUAUGCUUGGCUGUGAGGGUUUAUAGGAUAAAAGGGGGAAGAAAGUCCUAACUGAAUACUCACAGUUAAGAAGACCUCUAAAAAAAAUGGAGGUCAGAUUAAUGCCUAAAGGAAAGAAUAAUUUUUUUUUACACUAUCUCCAAUUCUUCUGACUCCCGCCCCCUAUACCAGGGUGUCCCUUUUAGAGAAUAAAACAGGUAGCAGGAUCAUAACGCUAGAAUACAGAGAGAAUUAAAAAACAGAAGAGGGGGAGGAGUGAAAGCCACUGACUAAUUAAUCCUCCAUUUUUCACAUCAGGGAAAACCUUGGCAUCCAGUGAUGAUGAAUCAAUGCUGCUGACAGAUGCAUCGUGUUGGGAUCCCAAUCAUCUAAUUCUUCCAUCAACAGAAAUGACAGGUGCCUAUGUUAAAAAGGGAAGCUGUGAGCAUAAACCUUCAAAGACCUACAGAGCUCCAGCUCCAAAUCUGUGAGAGUGCAUUUGGCAGAAUCUGAACAAGCAACACAAUGAUUAGAGGGUUUUUGUUUUUUUGUUUGUUUUUAACAGUUUUGUUACAAUGUUUCCACCCCAAAAUGUACCUGGGUAAGUGCUGGGCCCAUUUUUCCUUAUUCCUGACAUAGCUGCAAUUGUAUUAGCUAGAACCACCUAUUAUGCCUAGCUGCUCCAUCAGGAGCCUCUGCUGCCUAGGUGACCAUGUCUGGCCAGACGGGCCCAAUCGGGUAAAAAUGACUGGACUAGACAUGGGCACCUGAUUUUAGGAACCAGUCCAUAGCCAGCUUCUCCACCUCUGACUGACACAAAAAGAUGCAUUGAGACAAUCCUAUUCUUUCUUGGAGAUUUGAACUAAGAAUUUGCUAGAGGGCCCUGUGCAAAACCAUGGUGGGCAGAAACUACGAAGAAGCUUGCUCAAAGUGGAACUGAAGGAAGUAGCAGAAUUAUGCAGACUGGGGACCACUGGAAUCAACAUCUGUUGACUCUGGAUACCUUGAAACCCAACCACCAUUCAGCUUCAAUGUCCGUAAGACCAGAUUUUACUGUGAUACCAGUCCUUUUUUCUUUCAAUGUGAGCCUUUACAGUAAACUUCCUUUGUUAGGUAGGGGCUAGCUAAUGCCAGUUGGUCUCUAUUUCUUACAUCUAAAAAGAAACCUGAACUAAAACAUAGAACAAACACCAGAAUUGGGUCAAGGGUUGUAGUCUUAUUGUUUCUCAAUUAAAAGAAUAUUAUUUUUAAAAGUUCAAAAUAGAAUGAAACAAAAUCCCAUUUAAAUAUGGAGCUGGAAGUUAAAAUAUUUUAGUGACUCCUUUGGACCUGAGACAAAUUAUACUGGAGACUAGCUGUCAUCUGAAAUCACUUUUUCUUAAGUUUUUUUGGUUCAAUUAUUGCAUAAAGACCUAACAGUUAGAGAAAUAAGGAAUGUAUUUUUAUUUCUCUGUAGCCCCAUACUCCUGGGGAUGACAUUUCAACCUUUGCUCUAUCAGUUUCUACGAUUUUCUUACCCUCUGAACCUACCAAUAUACUUUUCUUACUAGGCUCCAGCUUUGAAUCAAUCAUGCUAUUUGUUUUCUCAGCUCCUGGGCUGUUAUAUUGUAAAGAUUCUUUACUGCACUAGCAUGAACCUAUAGUCAUCAGCUGAGCUUUCAAUGGCACAUGACAAUGUCACUGAGCAGCUCAUGCUUCUCUUCUCCAAAAUAGAGAUUCCAAAUUUCUAACACUUUCUAUAAAUCCCCUUCCAGCUCAGAUUGUUCCUUUUUUAAAAGUUAUUUGUAUCCUACUUCCUAGAAAAAAAAUUGACCUAUGAAAUAUAAAAUCCCUCAUUAAAAUUAUGAAGCAGAUAAGGAUGUCUGUCAUAUCUAAUUUUGCUCAGGGUGGAAUAUAGCUAGCUUUAAAACCAGCCAACUGACCAUGAAUCAACUAUAGUUGUAAGCCUUUCUUACAGGUAAAGGGGUCCACUUUACAAAGUUUUAAGCUAAAACCCAUAAGCAGAAGUCCCGAGGUGGAGCUUCUGGAAAAAAUCUUUCUUCCUGAUUGAAACAAGGAACUGCAGAGGUCAUGAUGGGACUAUGAGGCCUAAAGCCACACUCUCUAAGGGUAGUAGAACAGAAGAAUUCAAGGAGCUGAGGUUCCCAAGGUAUCAUGCAACCACAGUACCUGGCCUGGGUGGCCUAGCUCUAUGCCAUCAAUCCUUUACCCUUUGAUAUUCAUCAAUCCCUUACUUGUUUAAACCAAUAAUUCUCAAACUAGUAGCAUUAGUAUCACCUGGGAACUUGUUAGAAAUCCAUAUUCUUGGGCCCCAUACUGGGUAAGAAACAGUGUGGGUUUAGAAAUCUGAGCUUUUAUAAGCCCUCCAGGUGAUUUUGACGCAUUUUAAUGUCUGAGAAUCUCUAGUUUAUGUCGCUGUCUUUUAAGUCUUCCUAAAGGCCAAAUAAAAAAUGUAUUUUUAUGCAUAUAUGGGGCUAAAAAACUGGCUAGCUUUAAAAAUGUAACAUUUUAAUUUUUAAUAUAUUAACGGCUAAUAUAAAAAAGUAAAAAAUUUGUAUAACAAAAUAAAAUACUUAUACCGUGGUAUGGAAGAAAAGCAAGUUAUGCAUGUCGUAUCUACUAUUCAUAUGCACAUGAGUAUGUGCAUAUACUCCCAAACAUUUCAAAUGAAAUAUUCCAAAUAUUGACUAUACAUUAUCUCUAGGUAGUGGGAUUUAACUAAUGCUUGUUUUGUUUUUUUUUCUUCCAAAUUAUCUACAAUGAAGAUGUAUUGCUUUUAAAACCAGAAAAAUAUGCAUAAAAUAUUAUAUAUGAAGCAUGCAAAUGAUAGAUUUAAGAAUAGACACUAGUACCAAAUAUACUCCCUGGAAUCUUCACUACGAUCAAGAUAAUGAACCUAUUCAUCACCCCCAGAAGUUUCCUCGUGCCCCUUUGUAUUACUUUUGUUUGUAAUAGAACCUUGUUCUAGGUAUAAGAAUAAUGCUACAGCACAGUCAAGGUGGAGAAGAGCCAUUUUGGCCUCUUGGUCGAAGCAUCCAUUGUAACAAAACAACUCAGCCUGAUGUCCCAUGAUCAUGAAAGGAGCUCAUGGUAGGACUGAAUGAACACGGUGUCUUACAAAUAUUUAGGCUGAAUCAUGAGGACCAGGGCCCAAGCCUUUAGUAUAGGCCUACUGCUUGAAUAGGAAGGCCUUAUACAACCAAAAUGACCUAGAUUUCCAGCACAUCUUCCUGAUGCUCUGCAAUAUUUAUCUUUUUCUUGGAAGAGCUCAUUAGCAAGAUGGAAGGUGUUCAGGUUACUCACGAAUGUACAUAUUAUAGACUUCUCUUUAUGAGUAUAUGUGUUAGUUUAUUUUUGCAUUGCUACAAAUACCCGAGGCUUGGUAAUUUAUAAAGAAAAGAGGUUUAAUUAGCUCACAGUUCUGUAGGCUGUAUAGGAAGCAUGGUGCUGGCAUCUGCUCAGCUUCUGGUAGGGCCAUAGGGAGGUUUUACUCAUGGCAGAAGGCCAAGGGGGAAAAAGGCAUGGUGAGAGAGGGAGCAAGAGAGAGAGAAGGGGGAGGUCCCAGACUCUCUGAACAACUAGGUCUAUUGUGAACUGAGUGAGAACUCACUCAUCACCAAGGAGAUGGUGCUAAGCCAUUCAUGAGGGAUCUGCCCCCAUCAUCCAAUACUUCCCACCAGGCCCCACCUCCAACAUUGAGGAUCACAUUUCAACAUGAGAUUUGAAAGGGACACACCUCCAAAUCCUAUCAGUAUAUGAAUAAUGUUGAAAUAUACUUUUCUGGGGGAAUAUAGGGGAAGUAGGGCCAGUGGUUUGCUCAUAAAAAAAUUUCAAAAAUUGUGAAAGCCAUCAUUAAAAAUUAAUUUAUAUAUAAACCUGUACUAAAUAAAAGAUCUUAAAAACAAAGUUUAUAAAUACUCAAAACUCAUUACUUCAUAAUUAUUUUACUACAUUUUACUAAUAUCUAUGCUUUUAAGUUUGUGUCUGUUGUGUCUGUAUGGGAGAAAUAUUCUACGGUGGUCUGCUGUUGUCAUUAUAUAUCUUUUCUCAGUUCAGUGUAUUCAGUGAUGUCACCCUGGUAGCUUGAAAUUAGCCAUGAUGGGAAUAGUUACACCAUGGAAACUGGUGAGCACUACAAAUAAAGGCUUGAUUUAUUGUUUUUUGAUUGUUGAUUGCCUCGACCUUAGACAGUUAUACAGGAAAUGCACAUUAAACUUAAAUGUAUGCCUUGACUGUAACCAGCACGGUGUGAAUGGACCAAAAAAUGAGGAAAUAUUCUUCAAGUAUUCAAAAACAAUUCUCUGAUAGAGCAAAGAAGUCACUUCAUCAUUGAGAAACUACUGAAGUUCCUAUAUUUAUCUUCAUUGUUUCACUUUCUUGUUAACAUAAAAAAAUGUGUUAACCAAGAUUUAUGUCAGAACUAUACUGUGGCUCAUCAAUUGCAGCCAUAGGUUGGCUGUGAAUGCAACAGUUUAGUAAAAACAAAAACAUUCUGUGAGAUUCAAUUAGCUAUAUAUAAUUUACAGUAACAAAUAUUGUAUAUAUUAUUAUUUGCAAAUUGUAUGCCAAGAAUCCUUCAUAUUAGUCACAAUUUAUAAUAAUUGUAUGUAUAUGUCCAUCUAUCUAUGCCUAUAUUGUUUUUUUUUUAAAUUAUUAUUAUACUUUAAGUUUUAGGGUACAUGUGCACAAUGUGCAGGUUAGUUACAUAUGUAUACAUGUGCCAUGCUGGUGCGCUGCACCCACUAACUCGUCAUCUAGCAUUAGGUAUAUCUCCCAAUGCUAUUCCGCCCCCCUCCCCCCACCCCACAACAGUCCCCAGAGUGUGAUGUUCCCCU